rnacentral:rRNA from 1 species
GAUCCUGGCUCAGAUUGAACGCUGGCGGCAGGCUUAACACAUGCAAGUCGAACGGUAGCAGGAGAAAGCUUGCUUUCUUGCUGACGAGUGGCGGACGGGUGAGUAAUGCUUGGGAAUCUGGCUUAUGGAGGGGGAUAACGACGGGAAACUGUCGCUAAUACCGCGUAGUGUCGAGAGACGAAAGUGCGGGACCGCAAGGCCGCAUGCCAUGAGAUGAGCCCAAGUGGGAUUAGG